rnacentral:rRNA from 1 species
AGAGUUUGAUCCUGGCUCAGGAUGAACGCUGGCGGCGUGCUUAACACAUGCAAGUCGAACGGAAAGGCUCCUGCUUGCAGGGGUACUCGAGUGGCGAACGGGUGAGUAACACGUGGGUGAUCUGCCCUGCACUUCGGGAUAAGCCUGGGAAACUGGGUCUAAUACCGGAUAGGACGAUGGUUUGGAUGCCAUUGUGGAAAGUUUUUUCGGUGUGGGAUGAGCUCGCGGCCUAUCAGCUUGUUGGUGGGGUAAUGGCCUACCAAGGCGUCGACGGGUAGCCGGCCUGAGAGGGUGUACGGCCACAUUGGGACUGAGAUACGGCCCAGACUCCUACGGGAGGCAGCAGUGGGGAAUAUUGCACAAUGGGCGCAAGCCUGAUGCAGCGACGCCGCGUGGGGGAUGACGGCCUUCGGGUUGUAAACUCCUUUCGCUAGGGACGAAGCAUAAGUGACGGUACCUGGAGAAGAAGCACCGGCUAACUACGUG